rnacentral:lncRNA from 1 species
GGGGUGGAGACGGCUCUAUCCAAACAAAACUGUGUAAGAACUGGAAACAGUUUUCCAAGACUUGGGACCAUGAAUCUCUGACAGGGAGACAUUGUUGGGAUUUAACUACUUCAGCCUGAAGUGCUCUGUUACACUGAAGAACCAUCGUAUGGCACUGAGGAAGAUCCACGAUGAACGGAGUAGGUUUCAGAAUCUUCAAUCUCGAAAGUCUCACCGGAAAAGAAGCUGUAAACACCCCCAGGAAACCAUGGAAAUGGAUGACCAGACCCUUCAUCAUAAAGGGGGGUGGUUCCAGAAGAUUCGGCCUCUUCUCAUGGGCUCUCACGGUGAACCCAGGUAGUGGCCGCUUUCUCCAUCUGGGAACAGCCCCCUACUUUCAGGAGUCCUGUGUACACCUCUGCUCACCCCUGCUUCCCC